UUACCAUGAAAGGCAUUCAAGGUGGACAUCCUUCCUAUGAAUAAGAGGAGACCUAUUUCAUUUCCCUACCCACUUGAAAAUUCAUAAUCUUCUGAUGAUCUUAGGAACUAGAAGAUUUUUUUCAAAGGUAUAGAUUGCAGGAGAGAGAAGGUCCUGUUCCAAUGUUUACAAUCAAAACUGACUCUCUUGUGGAUGACCUAAAUAGAUUUCCUCCAUCUCUCCGAUGAUUCUGUAAAGGGAAGUGGCACAAGACCCAAUACUGCUGUUGGUUAUUGAUCCAACUUUCCUUGCAGUUUUCCCUGCCAUUCAUGUCAAUUGCUUCUACUAACCUUUACGAGCAAACUCUGCCUUUUAAUGAAAUCAUGAGGGGCUUAUCUUUACCCACAUUUUCAGUACUGGUUUUAACACCACAGCAUUUAAGAAGCUAAUAUAAUAAAUGUUGUUAGAAUACCAUAAGAAGCCUCUCCUUACAACAGGUUUCAGUUCUUUCAGGUGUAGUUAUGUAAGUGCAAAAUGUGUAUAGUGCUUCUCAUGAGAGAGUACUUUAUUAUUUGUAAAAUACCAUGCAUAAUUAUGCAAUUAAAUACUUUCAUUUUACAGAUGGGAAGCUGAGAGACAGGCCAAGCUUUCUCAACAAGUACAGGGCAGAGCUGGGAAUAUGACCUGGGUCUCAUUGUUUGUGUUCCCUUUGUCUUAACAGCUGACCCACACAACUCUAUCAGAUGCUUCUGUGAAGCAGCUGUUCCAAUAAAACUAUGGGACACCGGCUAUUAACUGGUGGAUGAUGAUUAUCUAGACUGCUGGAAUAAAGUUAAAGGUGAUUUGGGG